UGACUGUGUGCAGCUGACGGUGACUAGCCCAAUGUCAGGAAGCCAUGGCAGCUCCCACAGCCCAUCAUCCACCUGACACAGCCUCAAACUCCCUGUCUUCCGGGGUAGCUCCUGGGGCCUCCUUCUUGGGGUUUCUCUUGCCUGGUGGCUCUUGUCUCUCCUCUGCUCCCCUCCUGCUGCCUUUCUCUCCAGGCACCUCUGCACCUGCACCGUCCCUGGUGUGCCUGACUCUCGGGGGCUUGGUGGAUGUGGCCAUCCAUCACCCAGCUCUGGGGGAAAGACUGGACCAGAAGUAAACACGCUACACUCCUGCUGAGGCCUGUAUGGCGGGAAGGAGACAAGACUGGGCCUUGGGGAGAGAUUGGGAAGAUCUUGGCUUCGUCUGCGAUGUUUGGGUUCAUUUCUCAAAGGGAGAACAUAUGCAGUCCUGAUAAUCUGCACAAAAAGGCACCAGAGUUCCUGAAUCUCUCAGUUCCCACUCAUCACUCCAGUCAGGGAUGUGAUCAAAGCUGUGAUGAUCCUCAACAGAUCUUCCAGCAGAAAAAGUCAGGGAUACUCCACCUCCUCUCUGACACUUUGGAGAGUAAAGAGUCAUAUGUCAAGCUGCUGUACUCUCUUUGGAAGCAGAGCGAACACCUGUAUUUGCAGCCCAUCUUGUGUGUGCUCAUCUCUUGGGGGAAGAUGUCCUUGGGGCACCCCCUUAGUCCUCUGGGACCCCUCAUCUCUUACCUAGGGCUGGGAUCCUAAGUGGAACAUUCAGCCUUUGUGGUUGUCUUUGUAAUGUUGUGUGUGUGUAUAAGAUUGUGUGUAUGUAUAUCUGUAAGUGUAGGAACAGGUGUGUCAUGUGACUGCGUGUGACUUUUACGGAAGUACACAUGUAAUUGGGUACGUAAAAACAUGUGAAAAUGAGAGAUGGUUGUGUGUGUAAGGUUGUGCAUAUGUGUGUGGUAGGGGUGCAGCUGUUGGACAUGAUGCCAGCUCUUCAGCCAUCUGCAGGCUUGAGGGGUCCUGGGCAAUUCACGAGGUUCCUGGUUGCCGGCACCUGCCACUCUGAGAGGCAGCCGCAGCCUGUCGUUUUGGGAAUAGCCAUGCUUCAAUGACUCACAAUCCUGCUUCCUCAGAAUUUUCCAAAAUCUGACCUAGGCAAGGGAUUAUGAAAAGAUUUUCCAAGUACGCCACUGGUACUGGGAGGAUGGUUAGCUUUUUUAAGAAAAAGUUUCCCAGUACUUUUAAAACCACUUGGUUUGAAGUCCCUUGCUUACAAUGAGUGCUUAAUUGCCUGCAAUUCCUAUCUGUUCAUUAAGGCAACUCUCUUAAGGGACCAUGUCUUGACAAUACAGGGUUAGCCAUUAAUUCGCAUUAAUUGGAAAGUAAUAAAAUUUUUGCAAUGUCUCAUAAUUCAGACUUAUCACUAAUUCACAAACACCCUUCCUCCAAU